AGCGAACGCUGGCGGCAGGCCUAACACAUGCAAGUCGAACGAACCUUUCGGGGUUAGUGGCGGACGGGUGAGUAACACGUGGGAACGUGCCUUUAGGUUCGGAAUAACUCAGGGAAACUUGUGCUAAUACCGAAUGUGCCCUUCGGGGGAAAGAUUAAUCGCCUUUAGAGCGGCCCGCGUCUGAUUAGCUAGUUGGUUGAGGUAAUGGCUCACCAAGGCGACGAUCAGUAGCUGGUCUGAGAGGAUGAUCAGCCACAUUGGGACUGAGACACGGCCCAAACUCCUACGGGAGGCAGCAGUGGGGAAUCUUGGGCAAUGGGCGAAAGCCUGACGCAGCCAUGCCGGGGGAAUGAUGAAGGGUUUAGGAUUGUAAAAUUCUUUCCCCGGGGACGAUAAUGGCGGUACCCGGAGAAGAAGCCCCGGCUAACUUCGU
rnacentral:rRNA from 1 species